CGCGGGGUGGAGCAGCCCGGUAGCUCGCGAGGCUCAUAACCUCGAGGUCGCAGGUUCGAAUCCUGUCCCCGCCAC
rnacentral:tRNA from 10 species